UGGGGAAUUUUGCACAAUGGGGGAAACCCUGAUGCAGCGACGCCGCGUGAUUUAGAAUGCCUUCGGGUUGUAAAAAUCUUUUCUAUGGGAAGAAAAUGACCGUACCAUAGGAAUAAGUACCGGCUAAUUACGUGCCAGCAGCCGCGGUAAUACGUAAGGUACGAGCGUUGUCCGGAAUCAUUGGGCGUAAAGGGUACGUAGGCGGGUAAGCAAGUUAGAAGUGAAAUCCUAUAGCUCAACUAUAGUAAGCUUUUAAAACUGCUCAUCUUGAGGUAUGGAAGGGAAAGUGGAAUUCCGAGUGUAGCGGUGAAAUGCGCAGAUAUUAGGAGGAAUGCCGGUGGCGAAGGCGACUUUCUGGCCAUAACCUGACGCUGAGGUACGAAAGCGUGGGUAGCAAACAGG
rnacentral:rRNA from 1 species